UAUAUUUUAGUGUAUGAUGCACGGGAAUUUUUGAUAUUUCAAGAAACAGUUUGAUUCUGUUAAAUAUAA
rnacentral:tRNA from 1 species